rnacentral:misc_RNA from 1 species
GGCGCCGUAUUUUCCGGCCUUGAUCUGAUCGGCUGUGAGCUUCGACCCUGUCCCGCUUUGUACGUAGGUAGGC